GAGUAUGGAUCUAAAAUUUGAAGGAUAACCAAAAAUGGAUAGUUCUGUAUCAUUGUUUUCAUUUUUCUCCAUUUCAAUUUGGGAGGAAGUAAUCCAGAUUUGUAGCAAAAUAUUAAGCAUUAGGUAAUAUCGUAGUGAAUUUUUUAGUUAUCUGUUAUUGGACAAUAAUGAAGGAUUUAUAUGAUGCAAUUUUCAUCUAAUAUAUAUUUUUGACUUUU
rnacentral:misc_RNA from 1 species